rnacentral:rRNA from 1 species
UACGUAGGCAGCAAGCGUUGUUCGGAAUUACUGGGCGUAAAGAGUGUGUAGGCGGUGCUCUAAGUUUGGUGUGAAAUCUCCCGGCUCAACUGGGAGGGUGCGCCGAAAACUGGAAUGCUUGAGCGUGGGAGAGGAAAGCGGAAUUCCCGGUGUAGAGGUGAAAUUCGUAGAUAUUCGCAAGAACACCAGUGGCGAAGGCGGCUUACUGGUCCGGAACUGACGCUGAGGUGCGAAAGCGUGGGGAGCAAACAGG